AGAGCAGACCGCUAGCCCUGUCUGAGCCUUGCAGCACGGGAGACCAGGUGACCAGCCGAGGAUUCAAAAGGACCGACGUGGGUGACCAGUCUGCCUCCUGGAUCACUGUCCAUAUUCCACGAGACCGUAAGGAAACGUUAAAUGUCACAAUACUUCAGGCAUGUGGCGUGAAUGGAAAACAGGAUGGCACAGUGACUUCACGACAAUGUGUCAAAAAUUUAAAAGCCAGGGAACAAAUAUGGCAUCUUACAGCAUGAAGCUCAGAGAAAAGUAACAUUCGAUGACUACCUACCUGAUGUGUGGCUUUGUUUGCCCUGUCUUCAGAACAAGGAAGGCACCUCAGAUUCAUCCCCACCUCGUCACCCCACGGCCUGAGGCCCAGCUCAACUACGCAAUCCUGCAGCAAGGGUCUGCUUCUCCCCCAGCCGGCAGGCAUCCCCAAGCCAGGCCAUCCUCCUCUCUGCUACCCUGUGCUCUUCCUGACGUCAGACUGGCCUUUGCCAGAGCUGCUUCCAGACCUCCCCUAACUGCCCACUCCUUCAGAGC